UACGGGGGGGGCAAGCGUUGUUCGGAAUUACUGGGCGUAAAGGGCUCGUAGGCGGCCAACUAAGUCGGAUGUGAAAUCCCCAAGCUUAACUUGGGAACUGCAUCCGAUACUGGAUGGCUUGAAUCCGGGAGAGGGAUGCGGAAUUCCAGGUGUAGCGGUGAAAUGCGUAGAUAUCUGGAGGAACACCGGUGGCGAAGGCGGCAUCCUGGACCGGCAUUGACGCUGAGGAGCGAAAGCCAGGGGAGCAAACGGG
rnacentral:rRNA from 1 species